AUAAUAGAGACUACGUAUACGGGAUAGGAAACGGGAUCACGUGAUCCAUUACAUUGUGUAUAAUCGGACCGUACAGUCCUUGUCCGCCGCCAUGUUGGCCUACAAUCAGUCAGUUUUUGUCUAUUCUACAAAAUCUGAGGGAUUAUAGGGACAUUUUUACGUUGCAUCAUGUGGACCCAAGUUCAUUUGACUUACUUCAAAAUUGACACUGUUACAACCUAAAUGGUUCUGGCCGUUGCUUAAGCUAUGUAAUCAGAUCCAUACAAGCUUUAUUCUCCUCCUUUUGAGACAAAAUCACUCGCAACCUCAUACAUUUUUGUCUCCCUCUCCUGCUUCAAAGAAGGGCUUGUUUGAAAUAAAGAUUUUACUUUUGUUUAAAGAUAAUAUUGAUUUAUUGCUUCAAUGAUAGCUGUUGCUAUUAUUUGCUUCUAUUUUUUAAUUAUGGCUAUUUUUGUUUCUAAUUGUGCAGCACUUUACAGUAUCAACCAUGUUAAAUUUUUAAUAACUA